UUGGCUAUGGCCCUAAAAAUAAAUUAAAAAAAAAAAAAAAGAGCAAAGACUUCUGGCUUAAGGCUUAAAAUGAUAGCAUUUGAAGGCAGAAAGAGGACAUGAUAAAGGAACCCUAGGUAGAAGCAGUAUUACCUCGCAUAUGUCUUUAUUUCAAAGCCUAUUUCACAAAGUGUGCUCAAAGAUUUCCUAAACAUCACCUAACUAACUGGAGGAGUCUGGCAGGCUAUUCAAGGCAAAGGUAGGGGGUGCACUGCCCACAUGGGCAUUGGGGGAUGGGGUGUAAUCCCCACGGUUAGCUGCUGAACAGCCUUCCUUGUUGGGCAUCUGGACUUCACAAAGACAGAAAAAAUUAGCAGGGAGAAGAGCUUGCUUGGGUAAUCAGGUGAAAUGCAGUUGGGAAUCUUAGCACAAAAAGGAAAGAGUUCAUAACAAAAUAUAUUUCAAUUUUGUGAUUGUUCUGGGGUUUGCUUUAUUCUGAGAAGAUGCAUUUCACAGGGAUAGGGAUAAGAGGAUGGUGACUUAAAAACAAAGAAAAAACCCACAAUAUCUAUCUUAUCCUAACCAUAAUAAAGUGUUUAUCAAAUAUCUUGUAAAGAUAGUAACCAUUAUUACAUGAUUUCACGCUUUAAUUUUUAAAGUUGACAACAGAAAGUCUUUGAAAUGACAAUUUGAAGUAUUAAAAAGUACCUACACCACUAUAAUCACCUUAAAUCACAAAAACCUGAUUCCAGAUACCAAACGCACAGUUUUUAAACGUUCUAAUAAAAGAAGUAAAAUGUAUUUGUUUCAAACAUAACCGUGUGUGCGUGCGAACGCACUUUAAAAAAUACUGAGCAAAGGUAAAAUUCUGAACCAAACACUUGGCAACUUAGUUCAAUACCAUAAAUAAUAACAAUCAUGCUACCGGGCAUUAUCAUAAGUAGUUUUUAACAACACAGACUUUUAUCAUCCUAGAAGGAGGAGCAAAAGGUAUUCUAAAGCCCGCCUAUCUGGCCCUUUACAAAAAAAAAAAAAAAAAAAAAAAGAAAGAAAAAGCAAAAGCAAGAGGUAAUUUCCCUCCAACACCUCUAUGUAACUGUCACUGCCUCCCGUAGCAUCCCACCCUAUUCUGGCUUGCUAGAGGAACUAUGCACAGUGACAUUUCAGAAAACCCCAGAGGUAAGAGACAACACCUGUAAGAGAAAAGCUUCCUGUUUCAAACAGGUUUCAUAUAAAGUUACCAAACGAGGUCCGUUACUGUAAAAGAGAGAGAAUCAAAAAAUAGCUCCAUUUAUAAUCGGGGACAUUCUUAAGGUGCCCUUUCGCCUUUCCGUUUGUUCUGCUUUUGAAAAUUUCAAAGAAAACUGUUGAAUUCCUAAGUACCUAGGGCCCGUAUUUCACAGGCAACAACAAUCUGGACGGCACACUCAUUCAAUUAACAACACAAUAAAGCGAAUACCGAGUGACCUCCAGACAAAGAGUAAAGCAGUUAAUUACAACUACAGAGCGGAAAACUGGGCCAAUCCUAGAGUAACGCAAUAAUGCCGAGUCACGAAACUGCGCACUCCCAGCGAAACUUUUCCUAGACACAGAGUAAAUCGGAGGCAACCUCUGCAGUGCUCAGCCCCUAACAAACGUGAACGACCGUAUUCGAAAGAGUAAAAUCGCGCGCUAUCCAUUCCCGAAGUUGUUGACCUUUCUGUAACGAAAGGCUGCCGAACUUCCACGAAAGCUGGAAGCGCUAGGAGAGGCUGAAUAAUCGCUGCGGUUUUCCAAGAUAUAUAAAGAACAGGAGUUCUUGCUGUGGCACAAAGGGAUCAACUGCGGCUUGGGAGCCCUGAAAUGCAGGUGUGAUCCUGGUGCAGCACAGUAGGUUAAAAAUCCAGUGUUGCCACAGCUGCGGCUUAAGUUGCACCUGUGGCUCCCAUCUGAUCCCUGGCCCAGGAACUCCAUAUGCUGUGGGGUGGCCAAAAAGAAGAAGGAAAACAAAACAGCAACAACAACAACUAUAUGUGUGUGUGUGUGUGUGUGUGUGUGUGUGUGUGUAUCCCUUAAAACCUAAUAAUUAACAAGGAAUAUAUUACAAAAUCAUUUUCAUUUUGAAGAAGUAAUCAGAAUAUAGAGCCAAGAAAGAAGUCUACCCCCAAAAGAGCAAGCACCACAAAACUGGAUCUUCCCCUGUUCCUUAGGCUGAAGUGGAACUGAUAAGGAAGCAAUCGUCAGAUAAUGAAAGGGAAGCUCAGAAGGUUUAUAUAAUAUAUUCUGAGCUUCACAGCAAGUACCUGACAAAGCCAAGAUUCCCAAAAAUUGUUUUCAGGAUGAUCUGCUGAAAUUAACAUCUUGUUGCCUUCAGUCCUCACCUCUGUAUAACGGGGAUACCAGUGACGACGUCAGAGGGCUGUGCGAGCCUCAGUAGGAUGAUGUGUGCCACACUCCCUUCCUACCAAGAGGCCAGUGCUUGGAGCGGUUAAGGAAGAGCACAGACCCAAAACUAGCGCCUGCGUUCCGAUUCUAAGUCUGCCUUGUUGGCUUUCUGAUCCUAGACAAAUUUCCUUUAGCCAUCUCCACCACAUUUCCUCACUGGUAAAAUGCGGUAUUGCUCGUAACUACUUUUUGACUUAGUAUGUAAAGUGCUUAGGGAAAAAAAAAAAACUUUUCCCUUAAAUCCAGUGUGCUUGGCACAUGGUAAGCACUAUAGAAAAGGUAGUUAAAUUUUAAAAAUACUUUGAACAUAGUAGAUGCUAAAUAAAUGGUAGCUAUUGUACACUGAUUUUAAAUAUUAUAUGUGUGUGUGUGUGUGUGUAUUAGAAGGAACAUUUCUGAUCUUUGGUGAAAAUUCAUUUACUGCCAGUCAUUAUAGGCGCCCAGAAUGCUAAGGCUUGUAGCUACCAUAAUAAGUUCCCUGGAGUUGGGGAGUGGGGAGAAGAGGUGGGAGGAAAGGGGGUAACAGUGUUUUUCAGAUUUGGGGGUUAAACAACUAGAUGUGCCUCUAAGGUGCUGUUUACUGAGAUGGGAGACACCGGAGUAGGACUGCACAUAAAAGAGAAGGAGGAGAAAGAGAACUAACAAUUGUUUAGUGUCUUCCAGGUACCAAGCCUUGUGCUAGGCACUUUGUAUUCAAAUGACAUCAUUUCACUCUCAGAACCACCCUACAGGUUCUACCAUGGUAACUAUAAGAUUGGUUUUGAAAUCUGUGAGUGUCUUUCUGUUUUAUAAUUAAGUUCUUUUGUGUCACUUUUUAUUGCAUGAGAACAGCAUAUGCACACUACUGCAUAAAACAGAUGAUUAAGGAGAACCUACUGUAUAGCAUAGGAAAAUCUACUCAAUAGUUUGUAAUAACCCAUAUGGUUAAAAAGAAUGGAUAUAUUUACAUGUAUGACUGAAUCACUUUGCUGUACACUUGAAACUACUACAACAUUGUAAGUCAACAAUACUCCAAUAAAAUUUUUAAAACUCUCCUUCUGGGUAUUUCUCUCUGUUUCACAGAUCUGUGAAAAUCUUUGAAGAAGUGUGUUAUGCCAUAUAAGCAAGUAAAUCGACUUGUCAAAUAAAAAAAAUUUUUUUAAACAAAAAAGUUGUAAGAGUUAUUCCCUCUACUCCUUCCCCCUGCCCUUAAGUUCUGAAAUUUCACAUCAACAGUUAGCUUGGUGUAUUAGAGUAGUCUGUACCUUCAGCUAAAAGCAACCCUUUCCUAUUAUUCCCUGUAGCUUUAUAUUUAAUGCCUCCAUAGACAAAGAACUUUCUGAGGUGCCAUGCAGGCUGGAAAAGUUCAGUAAUAACUUGGACAUCUGUAGUUAGAUCACUCUGCCCAGAAAUAGCAUGGGAGUUGCUGCAUUUCUCUAAUACUUACGCUAGGCACAGACAUACUAACAUGGAACUAAAAUUCAUGGUAUAACAAUAUCGUACAUUCACUUAGGAAUGUUGCCUGUAUCAAUUUCAACAUUAAUAUAAUGUAAUUGGUUCCAACUCCUCAAUCUUCUGAAUAAUGCAUGGCAUCUGUACUACCUCAAACUUUUGGAAACUAAAUACAUUAAACUAGGCAGAACCUCAGAUGGCCAAAAGAAUUUGUGUUUUUAAUGGUGAUACUUAACUUUCUAACCAAAAAAACAAAAACAAAACCAAACCCCAAAAAACAAGUUCCAAAUCAUAGAACCCUUGAUGUUUCAAACAAAAGCACUACUAAGGGAAAGUGUCAUUGGUUUUUUAAAUUUACUAUAGGGCAAAUAUUAGGUAGAACUAUAUGAAAGUGCUGGUAUCAUAAAGAGCAGAGUUCAUAAAUCUCAGGGAACAUUAACUACCAUAGUUAUUUUCUAACCCCCCGCAUUUUUCAAAAAUCCUUUCAUUCUGUUGGGAAACCCAAACCAAGAGCUUUCUAAACUUUACUAAGCAUGUAUUGCUACUAUUUCCUUUUUAAAUUAUAUCACAACUUUCUUAUAAUCAACCUAUACACACACACACACACAUAUAAAACAGAGACACAAAAAUCAAUAUUUUUGCUCUUGAGUUUUAAAGUCGGUUCUUGAUAUUGUGACUAUCAAUAGCAUAUACAUUUUAUGCUUGCAUGAUGCUGCAUGGUUGUCAGCAUGCUUGUGCACAUAUCACUCUGGGCAGUCUCUAUGACCCUAUUUUAGUCCCUGUUUUAGCCAGGCAUUAUUGUUACUCCAGCCCUCACACCAGGCACCUGGCAAAUAUUAGUCACACAUUAUGGGAGAAGAAACAGAGGCUCAGUGAGGGGACCUGCCCUGAAGGGGCUUGGCUAACACAUAGCUGAGUGCAAGGUAUUCACUAUGUCUCAGUUAAGUGAAUGGUCCAACAGUGCCUCAGUUAUUUGGGGGGGAAAGUGCAUUCCAAUACCCCACUGUGAAGGAGGCUCUACUGUCAGCCAGGAACAUAUAUCAGGACGUAGAAUCCCUGCCUCUCUCACCUCUGGGCUCUCCUGUACGCCAGCCGCUCUCAGGCAGCCUCCACACCAAAGUAAAGAGGAAACUCAUGGCCAUGGCUGCAGAGGCCAGAGCCCUCCCCUCACCCACAGGGGUUUCUUGGUGCCUGAGAAACCCCCACAGGCUGCUGCCGCUCAGCUGCUAACCCCAAAUCAGCAGCAAGAAAGCAGACCCCAAUGUGGAAGAGGAAAGACUUUUUGAAAAUGUGAUUUUGUUCCUAGGGAAUUUAAAAAUUAAUCUCAUCCCACUGCUCUUUUUGGGUAGGUGAGGUUAUUUUCCCACGUGCUGGCAGGAAGGAUCCUCUUUAUUAAUGUUCUGUUGAUGAUCACGAAUGUGGGGAAAGGGCAGGAUGGCCUGGCCCAGGGCUUUGCAUUCCGCAACAUGCAUGCACACCUCUGAAUGCUUUAAAAGCAGAUUCAAAUUUCAUAGGUCUGAGUGGGGCCUCAGACUCUGCAUUUCUGGCAAGCUGCCGAGGAUUGCCGAUGUUGCUGAUCCAAAGACCAUAUUUUGAGUAGCGAGGAACUAAAUCACUAGAAACGGUCCUUAUAGCCCCAAGGAUUUAUGAGACUAGGACACAGCUAAAGAUUAUUCAUGAUUUUUAUUUUUCCUGAAAGCAACAACCAAAAAGAAAAACUAGCUGAUUUUACCUUUCCUUUGUUAAUUUUUUUUUAAUGGAAAUGAGUGUCUGAAUGAAAUAGACUUCUGUUUCCUAGUGUCUGAGAAUAAACUAGACGCCGGGUUGAACAGGUGUUUCUCUCUCUCUCUCUUAGAGCCCCAGAGCCACAGAGAAAUGUGGGGCUGCUCGCUUCUGGUUCAUCCCCUUCCAUAAUUUUCCCUUCUAGUCAUCUCUGCCUCUGCCUGAUUCUUUUCUUUUUGUUCCUAUAAAGAUUUAGGGUUGUUAUUAACUGGAGACAGAUUGUAGCAGGAAUGCCACAGUUGUUUUAGCCUCUGCAGUUGGCUGCAUUCUUUUGAAAUUAGCCUGAAAUUAGAUCGUGGCUCAAGAGAACCAUAGGAUAACAUCAGCAUACAAUUUUCCAGCAACUUUGGAUCAGCCCUAUCUAGACGGGCAUGUCAAGGCUAUCCACAGUGAUUCUUCUGCAGCCUGUUUUGUUUUUGUUUUUUAACUUUUAAUUUUUUAGGCAAAGAAGAAGAUGCCAAAACAGUGGUUUCAUGGACUUCACCCAGCUCUCUCUAAUAGUACAUUAUCAAAAAUAGGAAAUUUACACUGGUAUAGUUCUUAAUAGAACUAUGUUAACAUGUUAAGAUGUUAAUAGAACUGUGUUAAUACAGAGACCAUACUUGGAUUUCACUAGUUGUUACAUGCAUCCUUUUUUGGGGGGUGUGGGGGGAGAGUGUAUAAUACUAUGAAAUUAUAUAGAUGAAUCACAUUAUACACAAUCUGACUGUUAAAAAUUGGCCCCGGAUUCUGGUCCAAGCUCUUUUCAGUUUUCAUUUGUCACAUGCUCCAUGGACUUUCAUCCAUAAUUGUAAUGUUAAUUACCUUUUGCAUUUGGGUAAUUUUCAAAUUGAUAGCCCUACCUCUCUCUUGAGCUCUUCACCUAAGCAUUUCAUGGCCUACUUCCAGACACUCCCUGAAUAUUUUAUCUGCACUUUAAACUUAAACAUAUUGGAAACUAAACUAGUACAAUGCCUGCAAUAGAUUAGGUGGUUGAUGGAUAUUUGUGGGAUAAAUGAGUGGACUAAAGACACAUCACAUCACUUCAGAGCGCACAGUGUGUUGGCGGUAAGGUCUCAUGUUCUGAUUUCCUAACUCCUUCUUAAACAGAACCAACAGUCAAAUCCUGUGAAUUCUACCUGCUUUAAUCCACCCACCACCGCCGCCCUGGUUCAGGCUGUUGUCAUUUCUUACUAGGAAUUUCGCAAUAGCCUCCUCUCUCUGAUCCCUAACCCAAGUCAUUCUCCGUCUAUGACCAGAGUUUUCUAAAGCACAAUUUGCUUCACUUCACUCUUCUGCUCGAAACCUUUAAUUAUUUCACAUUGCCUGGAGAACAAAUCUAAACUCUUUAGAAAGGCACUCAAGACCUUCCAUAAAAUCUGGUCUGACUUUCCAUUGCAGCCUCAGCCCUUUCUUCUCUUAAUAUCUUCGGUGUUCCAGCCACAUGGCACUUUCGGCUGUUCUGGAACAGACUCUGCAUUCCACAGUUCUUUGCUUUCUAAAUCUAUUUCAAAGGUCAAAGAUUCCACCGAAGGUUAUCACAUCCCUCCCCCAAAAUUAUCACACCGUGAUCACCACCGUCAGCACCACGAGUACCCUUGCCUUGCCCCCCCUGCAGAAGUCUCUACAUGUCCUCAUUAGUUCAAAGGUAAUUUUAUGUAUCUCUCCCCAUUCUGACGUCCUGCCUACAUGGGGAUUCUGAAUCCAGCAGUUUUAAAGAAUCAUUCAAACAUCUUAGUAUCUGUUAUGCACAAAAUGAGGACUCCAUUUACGAUACUCAACUCUGUUUCUGGCUGAAAAUGUGAAGGUCGCUGAGUUCUGAAACUAUAUUAGUUAUAAAAGCUGAGAACCCACACACACUUUUUUGUGUGUUUUAACAUAGUGUAGGAGUUCCUGUCAUGGCUCAGUGGUAACAAAACCAACUAGUAUACAGGAAGACUCGG